AGUGAACGCUGGCGGUAGGCCUAACACAUGCAAGUCGAACGGCAGCACAGUAAGAGCUUGCUCUUACGGGUGGCGAGUGGCGGACGGGUGAGGAAUACAUCGGAAUCUACUUUUUCGUGGGGGAUAACGUAGGGAAACUUACGCUAAUACCGCAUACGACCUACGGGUGAAAGCAGGGGAUCUUCGGACCUUGCGCGAAUGAAUGAGCCGAUGUCGGAUUAGCUAGUUGGCGGGGUAAAGGCCCACCAAGGCGACGAUCCGUAGCUGGUCUGAGAGGAUGAUCAGCCACACUGGAACUGAGACACGGUCCAGACUCCUACGGGAGGCCGCAGUGGGGAAUAUUGGACAAUGGGCGCAAGCCUGAUCCAGCCAUACCGCGUGGGUGAAGAAGGCCUUCGGGUUGUAAAGCCCUUUUGUUGGGAAAGAAAAGCAGCAGGUUAAUACCCCGCUGUUCUGACGGUACCCAAAGAAUAAGCACCGGCUAACUUCGUG
rnacentral:rRNA from 1 species